rnacentral:rRNA from 1 species
CGCAUCUGUGCAUGCAGCAUAUCAAUAAGCGGAGGAAAAGAAACUAACAAGGAUUCCCCUAGUAACGGCGAGUGAAGCGGGAAGAGCUCAAAUUUGAAAUCUUAAAGGGUUUCCCUUUACGAAUUGUAGUUUAAAGAAGUGUUUUCUGUUGAGGUUUUGGUAAAAGUUCUUUGGAAUAGGACAUCAUAGAGGGUGAGAAUCCCGUAUUUGACCUUUACUUUCAACUUUGUGAUACACUUUCAAAGAGUCGGAUUGUUUGGGAAUGCAGUCCAAAAUGGGUGGUAAAUUUCAUCUAAAGCUAAAUAUUGGUGAGAGACCGAUAGCGAACAAGUACCGUGAGGGAAAGAUGAAAAGAACUUUGAAAAGAGAGUUAAACAGUACGUGAAAUUGUCAAAAGGGAAGCGUUUGACACCAGUGUUGUUUUUCUGAAAAUCAAUUAAAGAACUGUUUAUGCUAAGCUGUUUAGACUUUAUCAGCUAUCUGUUUAGUUUUGAGCUUUUCUUUAAUGCACUUUUCAGUUAACAAGUCAACAUCAAUUUCUUUUGCUGUGAAAAAGCUUGAGGAAGGUGGCUUGAGAUUCGUCUUAAGUGUUUAUAGCCUCUUGCCUAUGCAGUCGGAGAGAUUGAGGUCUGCAGCGUAGAUCCUUCGGGGCUAAAUGCAUUUGUGCUAAGUUAUAGCAUUUUAUAGACAACUUGUUGACUAUGAUUUGUCUUGUAGCUUACUCGCUUAUGUUAUUUUACCUACGCUUAGGAUGUUGAAUCUGUGCGAGACUAC